UACGUAGGGCGCAAGCGUUGUCCGGAAUUAUUGGGCGUAAAGAGCUCGUAGGCGGUUUGUCGCGUCUGCUGUGAAAACCUAAGGCUCAACCUUGGGCUUGCAGUGGGUACGGGCAGACUAGAGUGCGGUAGGGGGUGACUGGAAUUCCUGGUGUAGCGGUGGAAUGCGCAGAUAUCAGGAGGAACACCGAUGGCGAAGGCAGGUCACUGGGCCGCAACUGACG
rnacentral:rRNA from 1 species